GACGUAGGGCGCGAGCGUUGUCCGGAUUUAUUGGGCGUAAAAGAGCUCGUAGGCGGUUUGUCGCGUCUGCUGUGAAAACUGGAGGCUCAACCUCCAGCCUGCAGUGGGUACGGGCAAACUAGAGUGCGGUAGGGGAGAUUGGAAUUCCUGGUGUAGCGGUGGAAUGCGCAGAUAUCAGGAGGAACACCGAUGGCGAAGGCAGCUCUCUGGGACGGUACUGACGCUGAGACGCGAAAGCGUGGGGAGCGAACAGG
rnacentral:rRNA from 1 species